rnacentral:rRNA from 1 species
UACGUAGGUGGCAAGCGUUGUUCGGAAUUAUUGGGCGUAAAGGGCGCGUAGGCGGUUUGUUAAGUCAGCUGUGAAAGCCCGGGGCUCAACCCCGGAGGGUCAGCUGAUACUGGCAGACUAGAGUACAGAAGAGGUAACUGGAAUUCCUGGUGUAGCGGUGAAAUGCGCAGAUAUCAGGAGGAACACCGGUGGCGAAGGCGGUUCUCUGGGCCUUACCUGACACUGAGGAGCGAAAGCGUGGGGAGCGAACAGG